UACGUAGGGUGCAAGCGUUGUCCGGCAUUAUUGGGCGUAAAGAGCUUGUAGGCGGUUUGUCGCGUCUGCUGUGAAAAUCCGGGGCUCAACCCCGGACUUGCAGUGGGUACGGGCAGACUAGAGUGUGGUAGGGGAGACUGGAAUUCCUGGUGUAGCGGUGAAAUGCGCAGAUAUCAGGAGGAACACCGAUGGCGAAGGCAGGUCUCUGGGCCACUACUGGCGCUGAGAAGCGAAAGCGUGGGGAGCGAGCAGG
rnacentral:rRNA from 1 species